AGAGUUUGAUCAUGGCUCAGGAUGAACGCUGGCGGCGUGCUAACACAUGCAAGUCGAGCGAUCUUCUUCGGAAGAGAGCGGCGGACGGGUGAGUAACGCGUGGGUAACCUGCCUCAUACACAUGGAUAACAUACCGAAAGGUAUGCUAAUACAAGAUGAUAUAAGAGAUUCGCAUGGAUUUCUUAUCAAAGCUCCGGCGGUAUGAGAUGGACCCGCGUCUGAUUAGCUAGUUGGUAAGGUAACGGCUUACCAAGGCAACGAUCAGUAGCCGACCUGGGAGGGUGAUCGGCCACAUUGGAACUGAGACACGGUCCAAACUCCUACGGGAGGCAGCAGUGGGGAAUAUUGCACAAUGGGCGAAAGCCUGAUGCAGCAACGCCGCGUGAGCGAUGAAGGCCUUCGGGUCGUAAAGCUCUGUCCUCAAGGAAGAUAAUGACGGUACUUGAGGAGGAAGCCCCGGCUAACUACGUGCCAGCAGCCGCGGUAAUACGUAGGGGGCUAGCGUUAUCCGGAUUUACUGGGCGUAAAGGGUGCGUAGGUGGUUUCUUAAGUCAGGAGUGAAAGGCUACGGCUCAACCGUAGUAAGCUCUUGAAACUGGGAAACUUGAGUGCAGGAGAGGAAAGUGGAAUUCCUAGUGUAGCGGUGAGAUGCGUAGAUAUUAGGAAGAACACCAGUAGCGAAGGCGGCUUUCUGGACUGUAACUGACACUGAGGCACGAAAGCGUGGGGAGCAAACAGGAUUAGAUACCCUGGUAGUCCACGCCGUAAACGAUGAGUACUAGGUGUCGGGGGUUACCCCCCUCGGUGCCGCAGCUAACGCAUUAAGUACUCCGCCUGGGGAGUACGCUCGCAAGAGUGAAACUCAAAGGAAUUGACGG
rnacentral:rRNA from 1 species